rnacentral:tRNA from 1 species
UGUGGGGUAGUGUUAAGGCACAUAAAGUUUUGGACUUUAAAGUGGUAGGUUGUUCUAUUUCCCACAA